UGUUGUGAUAAUAACCCUGCUCAGUACAAAAGGAACCACAUGUUUGGACAUUUACUGUCUGUGGUUGGCAGAGGAGCCAAUGGUGUGAAGCUGCCAUCUGUGAGUUUAUGACUGAACACCUCUGAAUCAGAAUCCCCCCUAAAAGGUGGCG
rnacentral:ncRNA from 1 species